AGAUAUUUGAAAGUAACACUUAUAAUGGAAUGACAGUUAUGCUCUACUGUGUGCCAGCCAUCAUUAAGGACCACAACCCGCACUACUCUCCAGUGUUAUAAGAGCUUCCAGAUGAGAACCUACCCUGAUCGACAUCUGAAUUUCAGCUUUGUGAUACCCUGAUUAUAGAGCACAUGAUGCCACUCUUCUAACCUAAAAAACUGUGAGCUAAUAAAUGAAUGGUAUUUUAAGCUG